GCAUGCCUAACACAUGCAAGUCGAACGAAAAAGGUCUUCGGGCCUUUUUAGUGGCAAACGGGCGAGUAACACAUAUUUAACUUGCUCAUCCGAGGAGAAUAGCAGCCCGAAAGGGCUAUUAAUACGCCAUAGUUUUAAAUUAGUGAAUUAAUUUAAAUUAAAGGAGGCUGCCGAAAGGUGGCCUCGCGGAUGAAUAGGAAUAUGUCCUAUUANGUCGUUGGAGAGGUAAUGGCUCACCAAGCCGAUGAUGGGUAGCUGGACUGAGAGGUUGAACAGCCGCAAUGGGNUUGAGAAAUGGCCCAUAUUCCUACNGGAAGCAGCAGUGAGGAAUUUUUCACAAUGGACGAAAGUCUGAUGGAGCAAUACCACGUGAACGAUGAAGGUCUUCUGAUUGUAAAGUUCUUUUUAUUUAGGAAAAAAAAGCGCGGCAGGAAAUGGCCGCGCCUUGAUUGUACUAAUUGAAUAAGUGACAGCUAACUAUGUGCCAGCAGCUGCGGUAAAACAUAGGUCACGAGCAUUAUCCGGAUUUAUUGGGCGUAAAGGAAGCGUAGGCUGAAAUGUGUAUUCAUUGUUAAAAAUAUUUGCUUAACAAGUGUUCGCGGUGAAGAUUACAUUUCUAGAAUUAGUUAGAGGGUACUGGAAUUCAAUGUGUAAUGGUGGAAUACGUAGAUAUAUUGAGGAACACCAGAGGCUAAGGCGAGUGCCUGGAACAUAAUUGACGCUGAGGCUUGAAAGCGUGGGUAGCAAAUGGGAUUAGAUACCCCAGUAGUCCACGCCGUAAACGAUGGGUAUUAGUCAUUUGGAUUUAAGACUGAGUGAUGUAGCUAACGCGUUAAAUACCCCGCCUGGGUAGUAUAUAUGCAAAUAUGAAACUCAAAGAAAUUGACGGGGACCUGAACAAGUGGUGG
rnacentral:rRNA from 1 species